AGCUAUUUGAAGAAUCGCAUUUUGGCGCUGACUGUAUUAUAUCAAAACUGAUCGAAGAAACACCCGACGUCGCCAUGAUGAUUUUUAACCUCUGCGUUUAUAAAGAUAAAUAUUUAGCUCAUCGUUCUUAUGGUGAAACAGAAGUAAGAAGGAGAGUGUGCUACUCCUUUUUUCCAUUUAUACGAAAAAAUCGUAAGUGCUAUCAUGCGUAGUAGUUUAUGGUAAACUUCACAACUAUAAUUGCCCGAUUCUUAGUUUGUGAGUUCACGCGUACGGCAACCACGUUUCAUAUCAGUCAUGUUUCUGCUCUCUAUUCUGGGUUUUGAAUAGAUAAACGCAAUGUGCAGUCUAAUUGCAUUCAUCACCCAACGUUUCGGCACUCCAGUCGGUCUAAUGUCUUCAUCAUGAGGGAUGAUCUAAAAUCGCAAGAGGACCUCUUAUAUAUUGGAGAGAUGACGUCAUCUGCCAACAAGGUGGAGAUACUCUUGUAGAAAAUAAUUACCAUCAUCUCUAUUUAAAGCAUGUCGAUGAUUCAUGUUUAUUCUAUGCAACGUUUUGCCAAUAAUGAUUGUAAUUACUGAUAAUGAAUCCUAUACUCAUUCACAUGUUUGGUUUCAUUCACAAAUUCUGCUAUGGCUGCACGAUUAGCUUGUGUUUAAAGUUGAAACAGCCUUUUGAUGUUCUUAUGCGUGUGCCAUCAUUCAAAACUAUACGUUUCGACUUUAGAUCACCCCUGAGGAAAACACUACACUGCAUGGAGUGUUGGCUUUGAAUUAAUUUACCGUUAAAAGCUUGGCGUCACAAUGCUAAAAAAUUCCUGAAAAAUUAAAGGUGUCCUAAAUAUGCCUAUAUUGUGGAAUUACUAUAUGUUUGGCUUAAUAGUUUUCUCAACAGAUUUUCUCAACACUAUGUAAAACCUUGAGAUUUUUUGGGAAUUGGAACACUCUACAUUACCAAACUAUAGUGUGUAAAAACUAUGAGUAUAUUAACUAACUUCCAUAAUUUUCCCAGGAAUUAUUCUAAGGAAAUUUUAUCACUGCACAAAAGCGCGAAAAAUGAUCAAAUUUAUAUAAAUUUAGCGACAUUUUAGAAAACGUUCUCACUGCUCUGCAUAAGUGCAUACAGUACUCUGCUUCUGCAACUUAAAGUUUGCUCCAUGCAUGACACUAAUUAUAUAUAUAUGAAGGCAAAUGAGCUAAAAUCACCGCUAAUGAGCCCAAAUCUGCAUGCUGCAUAUUCCAUUUCAUGCAAAAAUAUACACAUUUUCACAUAUUUUUUGAAUCGCAUGCAAAACACCAAGCGAUAUUGCUCAAGAAAUGUUUUUUUUACACUCGUGAUAUAGAUUACUCUACACCUGCCCAUUUAAACAGCGUCAAAAAUCUCAAAACAAAAUCGCUUGGCAGCAGUUUAUAACCAUACGAAGGUGACAUAAAAAUGAUUUUCUUGAACACGACUUGGCCGCUAGGAGAGAUACGAGAUCGGAAUAAAUAUUAACUCGAAACGUUAGUACAUGAAUGCUUUAUUGGUCAUUACAAGAGGUCGGCAAACAGUAUAAAUAUAUAUAGACGAGCCCCCAGAUUGCAAUAAUUUUGAGUUAAAUAUUUUCACCCUGUGUAUUCCCAGUAAAAACUGAAAGCUAUUGCAUGUGGAUUAUACGCAAAUUAGAAUACAAGCAGUGGCCAUGUUGUCAAUAUUUGGCACUGAACAAUAUCGGCAUUAUCGCAUUUUAUAUCACUGCACAAGUCUCGUUUAUCACUGCACAAAUUGGUUAUCACUGCACCUUUGAAUAAUCCCAGGUAUGUUAGAAAUUGUACGCGUUGGCGAUGUCCCAAUAUUUCCGAUAUGGUACAUGCAGCUUUUGCUCAGUGUAUAAACUCUCCAUAAAUAUCCUAAUAUUAUUUUUUUUUGAAACAGCGCUAUAUAUAUCGUUACAAAACUAUAUUGAAAGAUGUAUAAAUAAUUUCAUUUUUUAGCUGACAGGAAGUCGGAUGGUAAGCUUGAAGCUAUUGAAAGCAUGGUUAACUUCAAUCGAGACGAUUGUUUGGGCCAUCCGCUGGUUAUACGGUUCUUAAACGAGAAAAUGAACUCUUCCAGAAUUCUAAUAUGCUUUAUUCUCAAUUUUGUACUAUACACCACAUUCCUGCUUGCUUUAACAACAUAUGGCGCCAUUCAAAGUCAAGGU
rnacentral:lncRNA from 1 species